GACGUAGGGCGCGAGCGUUGUCCGGAUUUAUUGGGCGUAAAGAGCUCGUAGGUGUUUGUCACGUUGUUCGUGAAAACCCACAGCUCAACUGUGGGCGUGCGAGCGAUACGGGCAGGCUAGAGUACUGCAGGGGAGACUGGAAUUCCUGGUGUAGCGGUGGAAUGCGCAGAUAUCAGGAGGACACCGGUGGCGAAGGCGGGUCUCUGGGCAGUAACUGACGCUGAGGAGCGAAAGCGUGGGGAGCGAACAGG
rnacentral:rRNA from 1 species